AGAAGCAGAAUAUUCUGUGAAACAAAGAUUGGAGAAUUUUUGUGGCAUAGAAACCUUUUUUUUUUUAAAGACUUUUUAUUGAUUUAAUAAAGUUGGUUGCCUUUAUAAAAAGAUUUGUUUAAGGAUUGUUUUUAAGGGGCUGAUGUGCAGACUGAAGGAGGGACUAUCUGGACAAAAAUCUUGACUGGAAAAGGAGAAGAAAAGAACAGAGGACCUUUUUUGUGGUUUUUACUUCAGGAGCUGGAAAAAGGACUUGUAUUAAAAAUGGAAUCUUCUAUGAAGAUUUAUGAGGAAACCCAUGACCAACCAGUUCAAGAGAAUCACAAGAACUGAGAGACUUUACCUUUUUUACUUCUUUUCCUUUUCUACUUUUUCUCUCUCUUCAGUCCCGGAUUGCAUAUCUGUCCACAGGUUCCACGGUUGUCUUUGUCUCCUGUUGAGAAUGGUCCAAUGUCUCGGGAGGGAGCCAGCUUCUCCAAGACUAAAACUAUUCUGGUAGAGAUUCACCUUGAACCCAAUUUGGUACCACACAAGCUGAGUUCAGUUCGGAAUAAUGAGCCUGCACAGAGGGAUGAACAGAGGAACAUCGCAGAGAACUAGGGGAAAAGAGUGAUGAAUGGCUUUCUUGAAGGGCAGACUCCCAACAUCUUAAGAGCCCAGUCUGAAUCUUCCCUCUCUUUCCCGCGAUUUACCCUCUCCCCUCUUAGCAGAGGUACAUCUGCAGACACCAAAACUCAGAGCAUCAUUGCUUGAUAGAGUUUCCAACAAUUCAUGUAAUGGAUGUUUUCUUCCAACCAAACAUCCAAGAAUGAAAAGAAACAUAGCAGAAUGGAAUAUUGAGGUGAUUAAACUGUCUUUAUAAAUGA